rnacentral:lncRNA from 1 species
UUAUGCCCCGAGAGUGUAAUAUUGGAACGAAUCGAAGUCAACGUUCACAAGAACCAAAACCGGAACAACAUUAAACUACUCGGUUGCGCCCUAACAGUAUAAAUUUGCAACGAGUACUUUUUCUUAUUCUAUCGAACAAAGAGUAAAAGCUAAUUAUAUUGUUCUAUUAUGCCCCGAGAGUGUAAAUUUCGAACGAAUCGUUGUCAAUGUUCACAAGAACCAAAACCGGAACAACAUUAGACUACUCAGUUGCACCCUAACAGUAUAAAUUUGCAACGAGUUCUUUUUAUCAAUCUAUCGAACAAAGAGGAAAAACUAAUUAUAUUGUUCUAUUAUGCCCUGAGAGUGUAAAUUUCAAACGAAUCGAUGUCAACGUUCACAAGAACCAAAACCGAAACAACAUUAGACUACUAAGUUGCGCCUUAACAGUAUAACUUUGCAACGAGUACUUUUUCUCAUUCAAUCGAACAAAGAGUAAAACCUAAUUACCUUGUUCUAUUAUGCCCCGAGACUGUAAAUUUCGAACGAAUCGAUGUCAACGUUCACAUGAACCAAAAUCGGAACAACAUUAGACUACUUAGUCGCGCCCUGACAAUAUAACUUUGCAACGAGUACUUUUUCUCAUUCAAACAAACAAAGAGUAAAAACCUAAUUAUAUUGUUCUAUUUUACCCAGAGAGUGUAAUAGUGGAACGAAACGAUGUCUACGUUCACAAGAACCAAAAUCGGAACAACAUUAGACUACUCAGUAGCGGCCUAACAGUAUAAAUUUGCAACGAAUACUUUUUCUCAUUCUAUCGAAGAAAACGUAAAACCUAAUUAUAUUGUUCUAUUAUGCCCUGAGAGUGUAAUGUUGGAACGAAUCGUUGUCAACGUUCACAAGAAGCAAAAUCGGAACAACAUUAGACUACUUAGUUUCGCCCUAACAGUAUAAAUUUGCAACGAGUUCUUUUUCUCAUUUAAUCAAACAAAGAGUAAAACCUAAUUAUAUUGUUCUAUUAUGCCCUGAGAGUGUAAUGUUGGAACGAAUCGUUGUCAACGUUCACAAGAACCAAAACCGGAACAACAUUAAACUACUCAGUUUCGCCCUAACAAUAUAAAUUUGCAUCGAGUACUUUUUCUCAUUUAAUCAAAAAAAAGUAAAACCUAAUUAUAUUGUUCUAAUAUACCCCGAGAGUGUAAUGUUGGAAGGAAUCGAUGUCAACGUUCACAAGAAUCAAAACCGAAACAACAUUAGACUACUCACUUGCGCCCUAAUAUUAUAACUUUGCAACGAGUACUUUUUCUCAUUCAAUCAAACAAAGAGUAAAUCCUAAUUAUAUUGUUCUAUUAUGCCCCGAGAGUGUAAUGUUGGAAGGAAUCGAUGUCAACGUUCACUAGAACCAAAACCGGAACUGCAUUAGACAACUCACUUGCGCCGUAACAGUAUAAAUUUGCAACGAGUGCUUUUUCUCAUUCUAUCGAACAAAGAGUAAAAGCUAAUUAUAUUUUUCUAUUAUGAUGCCCCGAGAGUGUAAAUUUCGAACGAAUUGAUGUCAACGUUCACAAGAACCAUAACCGAAACAACAUUAGACUACGCAGUUGCGCCCUAACUGUAUAACUAUGCAACGAGUACUUUUUCUCAUUCAAUCAAACAAAGAAUAAAAGCUAAUUAUAUUGUUGUAUUAUGCCCCGAGUGCGUAAAUUUUCGACAAAUCGAUGUCAAUGUUCAUAAGAACCAAAACCGGAACAACAUUAGGCUACUCAGUUGCGCCCUAACAGUAUAAAUUGGCAACGAGGGCUUUUUCUCAUUCUAUCGAACGAAGAGUAAAAAAUGUGUCGGUUCUAUUAUGCCCCGAGAGGGUAAAUUAGAUGUCCACAUUCACAAGAACGAAAACCGGAACAACAUUAAGCUACUCAAUUGCGGCCAAACAGCAUAAAUUUGGAACGAGUAAUUUUUCUCAUUCAAUCGAACAAAGAGUAAUACCUAAUUAAAAUGUUCUAUUAUGCCCCGAGAGGGUAAAUUAGAUAUCCACGUUCACAAGAACGAAAACCGGAACAACAUUAGACUACUCAAUUGCGCCCUAACAGUAUAAAUUUGCAACGUGUACUUUUUCUCAUUCAUUCAAACAAAGAGUAAAACCUAAUUAAAAUGUUCUAUUAUGCCCUGAGAGGGUAAAUUAGAUGUCCACGUUCACAAAACGAGAACCGGAACAACAUUAGGCUACUCAAUUGCGCCCUAACAUUAUAAAUUUGCAACGAGUACUUUUUCUCAUUCAAGCGAAUAAAGAGCAAAACCUAAUUAAAAUAUUCUAUUAUGCCCCGGGGAGGUAAAUUAGAUGUCCACGUUCACAAGAACGAAAACCGGAACAACAUUAAGCUACUCAAUUGCGGCCAAACAGUAUAAAUUUGGAACGAGUACUUUUUCUCAUUCAACCGAAUAAAGAGUAAUACCUAAUUAAAAUGUUAUAUUAUGCCCCGAGAGGGUAAAUUAGAUAUCCACU